CUGUUUAAUUUUACUAUUACAUGUUUAGCCAUUUAUUUUUACAGAAUUUAAAUAUUUUGUGUACAUUUUAAUCCAGAACCGGAAUGGUUCGUAGUCAUAUAGCUACCGUGUCAGAGGACAGCAAUACAACAUCUUAAUUAAUAACAUAUAUAUUUGAAAUACCUGUAUUUUUAGUUACAUAUAAUACAAUAUUAAAUUAUUUACAGCAGCAGACAUGAAUGCAUCAUAAUUCAAUCUAUGGAGACGAGUAUAGUGGGAUAGUGGGGAUAAAUAUCAGCGGACAGCCCAAGCUGGAUACUUCGAGUUUCCUUUCGCCACUCGUCAAAUUCAGUAUAAACAUAGAAAAUGACUAUAGUAUAUAAUUAUAUGAAAAAUACUAUCAACUAAACGUCCAUACGUCCAUACGUCUAUAUCAAGAAAGCAAGAAAGAAUAUAAUUGAUUCAACUGUCCUCUAUUGUCAACACUCAACUAGUAUACGAGGUGCGUAUUAUCUGGUAACUCUUGUCCAAAGUCCACUGCCCAUAUAGGACCCUACCUAUCGUGGCUAUCACGAUUUACGAUGUUGUUGCAACUUGUAACAACAAGUUAAAUGAACAAAAGUGUAAAUCUGAUUUAUUUAUUUAUUGUCAAAAUAGAAAAAAUAUCCUAUAGGUAUAGCCGUAUAGGUUAAUGAAAAGUUAUGCGUACCUACAGACUAGAGCCUACAAUGUACUUAUACAUUGUACAUUGUGCAUAACUAGUAAUUAUAUAAACUUCUAUUUUAUGAUGACAUUCAUAUUACUUUAAUAAUAUUUAUAAAUAAAUAUUUUUUUAAAACAGCAGUGCCUACCUACAUUUAAUUGUUGUCAUACUAAACCUUAAAUAUAUUUAUUUCAAUCAAUAA